rnacentral:misc_RNA from 1 species
AAAGUAUAAGAUAGAGCUUGGCAAGGAAAAGAGAAGAAGAACAAACAUCUACUUCCACAGCAUGGAACAAGUCAAGCUACUAGGAGCUUGGCCAAGUCCCUUUGCUUACAGGGUCAUUUGGGCUCUGAAACUCAAGGGAGUGAGCUAUGAAUACAUUGAUGAGAAUAUCUUUAACAAAAGUGAGUUGCUUCUACAGUAUAACCCCGUUUAUAAAAAGAUUCCUGUGUUGGUUCAUGGUGGGAAGCCUGUAGCUGAGUCCAUCGUCAUUCUUGAGUACAUAGAAGAUACCUGGCCUCAGAAUCCCUUGCUCCCAGAAGACCCUUAUGAGAGAGCUAUGGCUAGGUUCUGGAUCAAGUUUGAAGAAGACAAGAGCCCAACUUUCUUUGCUUUCUUUCGAACUGUGGGAGAACAACAAGAGAAGGCUGUAAAAGAAGCAAAAGAACUGCUGGGAAUCGUGGAAGAGCAUGGUCUUGGGGACAAGAAGUUUUUUGGUGGUGACAAGAUUGGAUUAGUUGAUAUAGCGUUUGGAUGGAUAGCUGGCUGGCUUGAAGUCAUGCAAAAGGCAGUCGGUGUCAAGUUACUGGAAGCUGAAAGCUUCCCUCGUUUACAAGCUUGGAUCAAGAACUUCAGGGAAGUUCCUGUGAUCAAAGAAAACCUUCCUGAUUAUGAUGGAAUGCUGGCCUAUUUCAGAUGCCGAAGAGAGAUGUUUAUCGCAUCAGCAACAUCCUUUGCAUAAUACAUUGCGAUUCUUUUGCAUUUUAAUGAAUGUGAUCCCCUACUAGUUUGAGAUUAGGACUUAGUUGUUAUGUUCAUGGAGUACAUUUGAUGAGGGAGAAUAUUGAAUCACUCUAACAAUGACU